CGCGCGGUUCUAUUUUGUUGGUUUAUAGGACCGCCGUAAUGAUUAAUAGGGACAGUCGGGGGCAUCAGUAUUCAAAUGUCAGAGGUGAAAUUCUUGGAUCAUUUGAAGACUAACUACUGCGAAAGCAUUUGCCAAGGAUGUUUUCAUUAAUCAGGAACGAAAGUUAGGGGAUCGAAGACGAUCAGAUACCGUCGUAGUCUUAACCAUAAACUAUGCCGACUAGGGAUCGGACGGUGUUAUUCAUGACCCGUUCGGCACCUUACGAGAAAUCAAAGUGCUUGGGCUCCAGGGGGAGUAUGGUCGCAAGGCUGAAACUUAAAGAAAUUGACGGAAGGGCACCACCAGGGGUGGAGCCUGCGGCUUAAUUUGACUCAACACGGGGAAACUCAC
rnacentral:rRNA from 1 species